AACCUGGUUGAUCCUGCCAGUGACAUAUGCUUGUCUCGAAGAUUAAGCCAUGCAAGCCUAAGAAUAAGCUCAUGAACGGCGAAUCUGCGAAUGGCUCAUUAAAUCAGAUAUAGUGUAUUUGAUAGUGUCUCACUAGAUGGAUAACCGUAGUAAUUCUAGGGCUAAUACAUGCAUGCAAAAGUAGCCUCACGGCUGCUUGUAUUUAUUAGGUAACAAAACCAAUGCUGGUGAUCCAUAAUAACUGCGCGAAUCGUAUGGUCCUGCACCGACGAUGAAUCAUUCCAAUUUCUGCCCUAUCAACUUGAUGGUAGGAUAGAGGCCUACCAUGGUCGCAACGGGUAGCGGAGAAUUAGGGUUCGACUCCGGAGAGGGAGCCUCCAGCGACACGGCUGCCACUUCCAAGGAAGGCAGCAGGCGCGAAAAUUGUUCACUCCUCAAAGAGGGAAACAGUGAAGACAAAUAACAAUGCCGGGCUCGUAGAGUUCGGCAAUUGGAAUGAGAGCAACGUAAAUAACUCAUCGAGUACCCAUUGGAGGGCAAGUCUGGUGCCAGCAGCCGCGGUAAUUCCAGCUCCAAUAGCGUAUAUUAAAGUUGUUGCCUUUAAACCGCUCGUAGUUGGAUUUCGGGAUGGGGCGGGCGGUCCCGCCGCGUGUGUUCGUGAGAGCGAGCCGCGCGGUCGGAGCAUCGCAUUCCAACCGCGUCCAUCCCUCCAGCCACACGUCAGCCCGGAGACGGGAGUCACUGAUGGUGGCGCGGUUACUUUGAGCAAAUUAGAGUGUUCAAAGCAGGCGGUUUGCCUUGAAUACGUUAGCAUGGAAUAACAAGACGACGGCCAUGGGCCCGUUUUGUUGGUUUUGCGGACCACGGUCAUGGUUAAUAGGGACAGUUGGGGGCAUUCGUAUUCCGCAGUCAGAGGUGAAAUUCUUAGAUUUGCGGCAGACGAACAUCAGCGAAAGCAUUUGCCAAGGAUGUUUUCAUUAAUCAAGAACGAAAGUUAGGGGAUCGAAGACGAUUAGAUACCGUCGUAGUCUUAACCAUAAACGAUGCCGACUAGGGAUUGGAGGAUGUUUAUUUGAAGACUCCUUCAGCACCUUAUGAGAAAUCAAAGUCUUUGGGUGAGGGGGGAAGUAUGGUCGCAAGGCUGAAACUUAAAGGAAUUGACGGAACGGCACCACCAGGAGUGGAGCCUGCGGCUUAAUUUGACUCAACACGGGAAAACUUACCGGGUCCGGACAUGGGAAGGAUUGACAGAUUGAUAGCUCUUUCUUGAUUCCAUGGAUGGUGGUGCAUGGCCGUUCUUAGUU
rnacentral:rRNA from 1 species